rnacentral:tRNA from 1 species
GAAGAUGUAGCUCAGUGGUAGAGCACUUGCCUAGUAUGCACAAAGCUCUGGGUUUGAUCCCCAGGUCUGCC